AUGCUGAUUGGAAAAGGGCAGUAACAGGUCUUCUUAUUUUGAUUGGUUCACAUUUGCCUGAUCUGAUGAUGGAGGAAAUUUUUCUUCAUCUCUCUUGACCUAAUUCGGCUCUACUAGCAAUGGUUCAAAUGCUUGUGGACUUCGCUUCAGCUGAAGCCUUGCAGUUCACCCCAUGACUAAAGCCUUCUAUGGACGGUCCCACAACCUGGGUAAAAGAGAAAGGUUGGUGUCUAAAAAAAAAAACACAAAAAAUUUCCCAUAUAAAUUUCUUGGUUGGUCUGACAACCCAAAUUAGUUUGAACCUUCUUCAUGAUCAUCAUGUACCCAGGUACGAAUCUUUGACGGUUUCUAGUUUGGGGUGGAUGAGGCAGUGUGGGAUGAGACUGUUAGAGUUCAACCAUUUCUUGUUAUUUGACCCUACUUUUUUGUAAAUAAAAAAUUCCUUCCUUUCGGGGCCACUCCUACUUUUUUUGCUGGUAUGCUUUUUUUACUUCUAAGAAUGUCUUCAUAGGAUAGAACUAUAAUUAAGUUUGGAUUGUGGAUUUGUAUAUGUUUAGGGUAUUUGUUCUUUAAUAUCUCAUGCAGACCCAAAAGAUCCUAGUUUGAGGGGAGUUGAAAAUUCCUUCCUUUCAGGGCCACUCCUUGUAUGUGCAAGGUACCUCAAAUUUACUGUACCAAUUACUUUAGAGUUAAAAGUCCAGUCUUCUGCCUUGUGUCCUGUAAGAUUGUAGUGCUAGACCUACAUGGAAAACACAGAAUAUAAUUUUGUGGUCUAACAUGCGUUAAAUAUCUGGCCUUGGUAAGAAGUUUGAAGUAAUAAAAUAUCCUGGGCACAAAUUAUGCUUUGCAUAUGUAUGUUGUUUAAUUUCUUUGCCUAAGAAAAUAAGGUCGAAUUUAUACGUUUAUACUAAUAACCUUGUUGGUGUUGUCAUCAGCACUGUUUGUCAGUCCUCUUUAUCAGUGAAGCUACCAGUACAUUUUCCAUAGUGUUCUCUAUAAUGAUCACGAUCAUGGAGGCACACUUUUAUUCUCAAUUUCUAUCAUCUCACAGAUUCUUAGCUGCAUCCAUCUAAUUUAUACUUUUUAUUCCUUGUGUAAGGAUGUGGUUUGAUGUGAAUCUUUUCACUCAAUGCAAUUUAUG